rnacentral:rRNA from 1 species
UGCGUAACGCGUAUGCAACCUACCUGUAACAGGGGGAUAACACUGAGAAAUAGGUGCUAAUACCGCAUAAGCGCACAGCUUCGCAUGAAGCGGUGUGAAAAACUCUGGUGGUAUACGAUGGUUCCGCGUCUGAUUAGCUAGUUGGUGGGGUAAUGGCCUACCAAGGCAACGAUCAGUAGCCGGCCUGAGAGGGUGAACGGCCACAUUGGGACUGAGACACGGCCCAAACUCCUACGGAAGGCAGCAG